rnacentral:rRNA from 1 species
GAUGAACGCUAGCUACAGGCUUAACACAUGCAAGUCGAGGGGAAACGGCAUCGAAAGCUUGCUUUUGAUGGGCGUCGACCGGCGCACGGGUGAGUAACGCGUAUCCAACCUGCCCAUCACUUGGGAAUAACCUUGCGAAAGUAAGACUAAUGCCCAAUGACAUCCCACGAAGGCAUCCGAAUGGGAUUAAAGAUUUAUCGGUGAUGGAUGGGGAUGCGUCUGAUUAGCUUGUUGGCGGGGUGACGGCCCACCAAGGCAACGAUCAGUAGGGGUUCUGAGAGGAAGGUCCCCCACAUUGGAACUGAGACACGGUCCAAACUCCUACGGGAGGCAGCAGUGAGGAAUAUUGGUCUAUGGGCGAGAGCCUGAACCAGCCAAGUAGCGUGCAGGAUGACGGCCCUAUGGGUUGUAAACUGCUUUUAUAAGGGAAUAAAGUGGGUCACGUGUGACUUUUUGCAUGUACCUUAUGAAUAAGGACCGGCUAAUUCCGUG